GGGAGGGAGGUAGGGGGACUUUUUAAAAAUUUAUUCCGACCUGCAGAAGUUUGAAAGUGAAAGAAAAUGUGUCAGGGUCAUGUUGGUGCUCAGUGCGCGCCUCGUGAGUGCUUGGCUGAUUUAAAAAGAAAAAAAAAAAAAAAAGAAAGAAAACGAAAAAGAAAAAAAAGAGCAAAGACAUGCAAAAGUUGCGCCUGGCCGCCAGUGACUCGGGUAAAUCAUCUCAUUCGUUUCGCCGUGCACCGUAACAGCAAGAACUGGAAGGAGGACAAUGAAACGAGGAACUGCUGACUUGCGUUUCCAGUGUUCACUGGUGACUUUCUGAUGAAGAGGAGGAUGAAGGGAGGCAAACUGGUAAGUGAAAGCAAGCUGAGCUUUACUUCGGCCAUUACUGACGUUUUCUGUUUGAAAAUCAGAGGAGGUGGGCAGACUCUAGGGAACCCCUCAUAUUUUAACUUUAAUGACUGCUUUGCACUCUCAGCUGUGGCUCCAGUGUUUUGUUGCUGUUUUCCUACUUCAGGUGGUCAAAUGAAAAAGGCUUGAAAGAAAGUUAUAACCUGAGUGACAGCAUAAGGCUUAAAGCAGGAAGAAAUAAAACUCUGGACGGAAAAUAUAAAGCGUUUUCUCAUCUUUGAUGAUUUCAACUCUCGCUUCUAGAGACUUAUUCUUUUCUCUUUAGUCUUAAAACACUCAUUAAAUAAAUCACCCUGAUUGGUUUUCAUUCAGCCGAUGUGGCGUAAAAUAAAAAGCACAAUUCAAUGUCUUGUAGCAAAGUACUGAAAAUAGCACAAAUGAGGUAAAAUCGGACUGCGGAUAAUCACAGAUGGGGACAGGAACUGUUUUUAGUGUGUUGGUGGCAGGGCUGGCUGUGGCGAACACUGGCUACGUUUUCCACUUGUCCUGUGACCGGCUACUCUAAAUUUAGUCGCUCAAUCAUAUGGUGAUGCGCUGUCCGCACCUCGAAGGGCUAAAGUGAAAGCGUUUGUGUUAGAUCUCUUGGCGAUAUGGCAGCAGCUGUCCUCGCAAAAAAAAAAA